GAGGUGUCCCUGCCAUGGCAGGGGUGGCACUGGGUGGGCUUUGAUGUCCCCUCCAACCCAAACCAUUCUGGGAUUCUGUUAUUCCAUGAUUCUAUCAAAUGGUGUUAAAAUCUAAGAAAACUUUCUGCUUUCAGUGGCAUCAGACAUUUAAGGGACUUGCAGAAUCCUUCCACUUCAGAAGAAAAAGUUCUUUAAGAUUUAGUAUCCAAGCAGAUCUUUUAUAAUUAUAAAUAAGAUGUGAAAAAGGAGGAAAGGGCUUUGACUCAAAGUCCUGUUUGAGUGCUGGAGGAGCACAGUUCCACAGGCCCAAAGGGGAAUAUUUUACUCCUUCAUUCCAUGACUUUAUUACUGUUCCAUGUGGGACUAACUGUGGUUGUUUCUCCUGCUGAUAAAUCCCCUGAGGAGCCACAGCAGAGCUCUCCUGCUCUGAGCUGCUCCCACCAAAGCAGAACAGCCUCACUGGCCAUGAAUCUGGAAAUGGUUUUGCCUGGAACUCCAGACAUCCUCUGCUUUUCCAGGGCAGGAAAUGCUUUUGCUUUGCUGUGAUUUUGCUUUUCAGUCUAACCAAGCUCAGCUUUGUCCUUGGGACACUUCAGCUCCAAUGCAGCAGAGCCACAGUGCUCAAAGGGGGACCUGGAAAUAUUCCAAAGGAUCUCAUUGUCCUGAAAGAAAAAGUCAAAAUCAGGUGGUGCAACCAAGGGAAACUGCUGAAGAGCAGCAGGACCUGAAGUGUAGAGCAUUAAGUGAUGGUUGUGUACCCCAUGCCAUACAUGAAUGUAAUUCUUCUAUGAAUAUUAAAUGUUAUUUUGCAA